AUAAGCUAUUAAGGGCUAAUGGUGGAUGCCUAGACUGUAAGAGGCGAUGAAAGACGUAUUAGGCUGCGAUAAGCCUCGGGGAGCUGCCAAAGAGCUUUGAUCCGGGGAUUUCUGAAUGGGGCAACCCAAUAUAAUGAGAAUUAUAUUACCCUACGGGGAGCGAACCUAGUGAAGUGAAACAUCUCAGUAGCUAGAGGAAGAGAAAUCAAACGAGAUUCCCAAAGUAGCGGCGAGCGAAAUGGGAUUAGGACAAACCCAAUGCUUGCAUUGGGGGUUGUAGGACCAUGAUAUGAGACUAAAGAGGAUAGAUGAAAUACUUGGAAAAGUGUAGCAUAGAAGGUGAAACUCCUGUAAUUAAAAUUCUCAAUAGCUCUAAUGGUAUCCUGAGUAGGUCGGAACACGUGAUAUUUUGACUGAAACUGGGGGGACCACCCUCCAAUCCUAAAUACUACUUACAGAUCGAUAGUGAACAAGUACCGUGAGGGAAAGGUGAAAAGUACUCCAGCGAGGAGAGUGAAAUAGAACCUGAAACCAUUAGCUUACAAUCAUUCAGAGCCCUAUGAUUUAUCAGGGUGAUGGACUGCCUUUUGCAUAAUGAGCCUGCGAGUUGUGGUGUCUGGCAAGGUUAAGCCAAGUGCGAAGCCGUAGCGAAAGCGAGUCUUAAUAGGGCGAAUUAGUCAGAUGCUGCAGACCCGAAACGAAGUGAUCUAUCCAUGAGCAGGUUGAAGCUGGUGUAAGAGCCAGUGGAGGACCGAACCCGCUGACGUUGAAAAGUCUUGGGAUGACUUGUGGAUAGGGGUGAAAGGCCAAUCAAACUUCGUGAUAGCUGGUUCUCUCCGAAAUAUAUUUAGGUAUAGCCUUGUGUUGUAGCAUAUGGGGGUAGAGCACUGAAUGGGCUAGGGCUGCUUACCGCGGUACCAAACCCUAUCAAACUAUGAAUACUAUAUGUGGAAUCACAGGAGUCAGGCGGUGGGUGAUAAAAUCAAUCGUCGAGAGGGGAACAACCCAGACUAACAGCUAAGGUCCCUAAGUUACAUCUAAGUGGAAAACGAUGUGGAGUUACUGUGACAACCAGGAGGUUGGCUUAGAAGCAGCCAUCCUUUAAAGAAAGCGUAACAGCUCACUGGUCUAGUGAUUCUGCGCGGAAAAUAUAACGGGGCUAAGAUGUACACCGAAGCUUUAGAUUCAAUUUUUAAUUGAGUGGUAGGAGAGCGUUCUAUUCAGCGUAGAAGAUGUACCGGUAAGGAGCGUUGGAGCGGAUAGAAGUGAGCAUGCAGGCAUGAGUAGCGAUAAUUGAGGUGAGAAUCCUCAACGCCGAAAACCCAAGGUUUCCUACGCGAUGCUCGUCAUCGUAGGGUUAGUCGGGACCUAAGUCGAGUCCGAAAGGGGUAGACGAUGGCAAAUUGAUUAAUAUUUCAAUACCAACAUAUAAGCGCGAUGUGGGGACGCAUAGAGUUAAUCGAGGUCACUGAUGGAAUAGUGGCUCGAAGGACGUAGGCUGUUAAGUAGGCAAAUCCGCUUAACAUUAGGCCGAGAUCUUACAGGCUCUUGACACUCUUCGGAGGAGAUGGAGAAUCGAUGAUACUGUCGUGCCAAGAAAAGCCACUAAGUUUAUUAUAUGUUGCCCGUACCGUAAACCGACACAGGUGGGUGGGAUGAGUAUUCUAAGGCGCGUGGAAGAACCCUGGUUAAGGAACUCUGCAAACUAGCACCGUAUCUUCGGUAUAAGGUGUGCCUACUUUUGUAUAUGAACUUGCUUCAAAAAGCGAAAGAGGUUGCAACAAAGAGUCCCUCCCGACUGUUUACCAAAAACACAGCACUUUGCUAACACGUAAGUGGAUGUAUAAGGUGUGACGCCUGCCCGGUGCUCGAAGGUUAACUGAUGAUGUCAGCGCAAGCGAAGCAUUUGAUUGAAGCCCGAGUAAACGGCGGCCGUAACUAUAACGGUCCUAAGGUAGCGAAAUUCCUUGUCGGUUAAAUACCGACCUGCAUGAAUGGCGUAACGAGAUGGGAGCUGUCUCAACCAGGGAUCCAGUGAAAUUGUAGUGGAGGUGAAAAUUCCUCCUACCCGCGGAAAGACGGAAAGACCCCGUGCACCUUUACUACAGCUUGACACUGUAGCUU
rnacentral:rRNA from 1 species